GUUAACACACAUGGAGUAAAAGCUACAAAAAGCUAAUAAACUGAUACUAUUUAGGAACACUAUUCUUCAUAUUACACAAUUUAUUAGCUUUGAAGAGAGCCAUGCCUUACAUAUGCGACUGAGGGCCUUUAUUUUGACAUUUCUGGAAGUCUUCGUGCAGUGCGGUGUGCUUCACGCCCUCACUUCCCUCAGCCACUCCGACAUCAUGGCGGACGCCGAUUCUUGGGACGCGGAUAGUUUCGAGACCGAGGAGCCUAUCAAAAAGGCGGCAGUUCAUGACAAAUGGGAGGGCGAGGAUGAAGACGACGACGUGAAAGAUAAUUGGGAUGAUGAUGAAGAGGAAGAAAAGAAGGAGGAAAAAAAGUCAGGUACAGUGAUAUGAAAUGCAUAAUUUGGUAGGUGACAAACUGAACAUUGUUGUUGUUGUUUUCUCCCAAAAUGCAUUUUCACCUCGUAAGUAUUAGUUUAAUUUUUUUUUUAUCAGUUGACUUAUAGUUCUG
rnacentral:lncRNA from 1 species